ensembl:miRNA MIR33B microRNA 33b
GCGGGCGGCCCCGCGGUGCAUUGCUGUUGCAUUGCACGUGAGUGAGGCGGGUGCAGUGCCUCGGCAGUGC